GCCUAACACAUGCAAGUCGAACGAGUGGCGGACGGGUGAGUAAUGUCUGGGAAACUGCCUGAUGGAGGGGGAUAACUACUGGAAACGGUAGCUAAUACCGCAUACCAUCGGAUGUGCCCAGAUGGGAUUAGCUAGUAGGUGGGGUAAAGGCUCACCUAGGCGACGAUCCCUAGCUGGUCUGAGAGGAUGGCCAGCCACACUGGAACUGAGACACGGUCCAGACUCCUACGGGAGGCAGCAGUGGGGAAUAUUGCACAAUGGGCGCAAGCCUGAUGCAGCCAUGCCGCGUGUAUGAAGAAGGCCUUCGGGUUGUAAAGUACUUUCAGCGGGGAGGCGUUACCCGCAGAAGAAGCACCGGCUAACUCCGUGCCAGCAGCCGCGGUAAUACGGAGGGUGCAAGCGUUAAUCGGAAUUACUGGGCGUAAAGCGCACGCAGGCGGUUUGUUAAGUCAGAUGUGAAAUCCCCGGGCUCAACCUGGGAACUGCAUCUGAUACUGGCAAGCUUGAGUCUCGUAGAGGGGGGUAGAAUUCCAGGUGUAGCGGUGAAAUGCGUA
rnacentral:rRNA from 1 species